GCUGGAGACGUACUGCUCGUCGGCCUUGGUGCCGUCCUCCUCCAUGGGCUGGUUGUCGGGCGUCAUGGGGAUGUGGACAUGGUAGUCCUGGAAGUCGACGCUGCUGAUCUCUGAGUCAAGGUCGUCGCGCGAGUAGCUGAUGAAGCGCCCAGACUCUGUUCGCCGCCCGAAGACCACCUGCGGCGCCGAUGUUGGCGCUGUCGGUGGCUUGCUGGGGCCGUGCGGCGGCACGCGGCUGGAGCCGCUGUUCUUGAGGAUUCCCUUGGACCCCAUGGCCUCCUCCAGGGCCCAAGUCGUGCAGUGAAAACCUAGUCAACCCCCCCAACACACGGUGGGUAGCUUCGCGCAACAAACGUCCAGGCUCGUGGUCAAAGCAUCAACCAAAUGCAUCGUGCUCGCUACUCCGACUCCUCACUGACAUCAUACACCCUGCAAUCCAACCGCCAAAUUCCACUCAUGGACAAAUACGUAGAAAAGAAGAUAUGUAUAAAUAGAUUCAUUUUUAUACGCUCUACAUGCAAAUCAUGCAAUUUCAUGCCUGUCAUGAUUCUUUUUUCUGGUGUCUACAUUAUUUUUCCUGUGCCA